GAAAUGCGAUACGUAAUGUGAAUCGCAGCUAUUCGUGAAUCAUCGAAUCUUUGAACGCACAUUGCACUUCCUAGCUUGCUGGGAAGUAUGUCUGUUUGAGUAUCAUUUUAUCUAUCCUUCAAGCUUGCUUGAGGGGAUUUGAGUGCUUCACAUUCUAUAUGGAUGCGACACUUUGAAUUUAUGGGGCUCAACUAUAGUGCCAAGUUGUAAUCUUAGGAUUCACGGCGCACCAGUCGCAGACUUACCAUGCCAGGCGUUGUGGUAGGUUGAUGGUGCAGCAGAUGUGUUUUCUAGUGUGUUUGCGCUUGAGUUGUCGGGAAACCGAGCACUUGAAAUGUGAUCUCAAAUCAGACAAGAGUACCCGCUGAACUUAA
rnacentral:misc_RNA from 1 species